AGUGAACGCUGGCGGUAGGCCUAACACAUGCAAGUCGAACGGCAGCACAGUAAGAUCUUGCCCUUACGGGUGGCGAGUGGCGGACGGGUGAGGAAUACAUCAGAAUCUACUUUUUCGUGGGGGAUAACGUAGGGAAACUUACGCUAAUACCUCAUACGACCUACGGGUUAAAUCUAGGGAUCUUCGGGCCUUGCGCGUCUGAAUGAGCCGAUGUCGUAUUAGCUAGUUGGCGGGGUAAAGGCCCACCAAGGCGACGAUCCGUAGCUGGUCUGAGAGGAUGAUCAGCCACACUGGAACUGAGACACGGUCCAGACUCCUACGGGAGGCAGCAGUGGGGAAUAUUGGACAAUGGGCGAAAGCCUGAUCCAGCCAUGCCGCGUGGGUGAAGAAGGUCUUCGGGUCGUAAAGCUCUUUUGUUGGGAAAGAAAAGCAGCAGGUUAAUCCGCCGCUGUUCUGACGGUACCCAAAGAAUAAGCACCGGCUAACUUCGUG
rnacentral:rRNA from 1 species